rnacentral:lncRNA from 1 species
AAAAAUUGAGACAAAAAAAUCAUAUGGUAAAAUUAUCAACUUCUUUGAAAGAUGCUAUAUGCAUUCAUUGCAAACAAUUUUUUUUUUGCUUUUCUCCCUUAAUGUUUCAUUUUUGAUAUAUCAUUUUCAAUAGCUUACUUCAAAGAAGAUAAAAUGUAUGCAGCUAAUAACGAAAAAGUAUGAAGGAUAAAACUGGUCUGUUUUGAGAAAAACUAAUGUGAUGAUAUCAUGUAACUUUCUCUGUUAAGGAACCUCUCGAAUGUUUGUACCGCAGUUAUUGUUUUGCAAUGGUGCCAACUCAAUAUUUAUAAUCUUGAACUAUAAGUUAUGAAAGUCAGGUAAUGUAUCUCAAUAUUUAAAAGUAUCGUCACUAGUUUAAGUCUGAAAAAGAGAGCCAGAGGAAUAGUCACUAAACUUUAGUUCUGACUUCCCGUAAAACUUGCAAAGUGCUCUACAAUUUUUUGAUUCUAUAGUAUGGAUGCUGCUUUGCAUGUAUUUAACUAUUCACUCACUUUACCUAAUUACCUAUAUGCCACCAUAGAACAAAUGAUGUGCAAGAACAUGUGGGGGUAGCUUCUCUUUUCAUUAUUUUGGAAGGCCAAUAUCUAUGUUGUUCUUGACAGUCUGUGAAAUGACUUUCUGUAAGGUGAUUUAUGUGGAUCAUCCAGAAGAUUAACGAGGUUCUCUCUCAGACUCUCUUUUACAUGCAUUAGGGUAGUCGUUUUCUCAGCCAUUCUUGUUCAGUUAUUUCUUUUUCUUUCGACUACUAUUUUGUGUUGGGCAUGCCUUGAGGAGGUUUCACUUUCCUUGAAUUAUAACUUGACUCCAAAUUGUGUUGCUGCGAUCUCCUUAGAUGGAUUUUUAUCUUGAUAUUGACUACACUAAGAAGACUUACCAUAAAGGAAUAAACUACUAAAUAAUAUAAAUAGCUAAUUUGAUUUUUCUUCCUGGUUUUUGAAAUGAAGGCAGAGUAUUUCUCUAUAAAAGAUGAUUUCAUUUCACAAAAUGAAACACCUACGGAUCUGUGUAACUAGAGGAGUGAUAAGAAGCUCUUUAAUUUCUCGCUCUCCCACUCUCUUGUGUCUGAGAAAGGAAUGGAAAGCAAAAGAAAACUGAUCAAAGACCUAUACUUGAAGGAUACUAGCUUUCACUAACACUCGAAAACUGGUUGAAAACUUUUACAGUUUUUUUUAAAUAGCUAAAUGCUUGAGAUGAUGAGCAUAAAAUAAAAUAUUGAGCCCGUUCUGAGCAUGAGCUUUGUCCAUCUAGUAUAAAAAAAUAGAAGUAAUAUGGUAAAGUUAUUAUGUCAAUUAUUUUUUUUUAAUGGGCAUAUAGAUUUUCCAACCACAACAAAAACGUGUCAUAUAGAUUUUAUCUUUCUUGUGUGUGUGUACUUUUGACAUUGAUAUGUGGUGGAUAAUGUUUUGUACAAGCCUUUCACAGCUAAUUACUUUAUCCAUUUGUAAAUACUUGUGUGAUUAUUAAAAAUAAAUAUUUUAUACUAUAUUAUUUGCUUAAAAUUACUUAUAACUUAUGUCUAUUUUUUAUUUUACGUAUUAUUGUUGAUAUAUAAAAUAAAAAGACAAUAAAUUUUUUAUUUUACCCUUAAAUUAGGAAGAAGGUUGUUGGACGUGUAAAAAGAAGAGGUGUGUAAAAAUAUUGCCCUAGUUUUCGAGUGUACUUUAUUUGGCUUUAACUUUUUGGUUCAUCCUUAAUUGCAUCUCGGUCAUUAUGAGUUAUGGCAAUUGUUUGAAAAAAAGCGUGAUUAUUUAAUACUUUCUUUGUUUCUAAAUAUCUGCAUCUCAACUAAAAUAGAAAUUUUAUAGUAAUAUUUAUCAUUAUAGAAAAUCAAGGCAUCAGUUGUUUGUUUCUAUUUUUUUCUGAAUCAUAAAUAUGAAAAAGUAUUAAUAUGGAGCAAAAGAGAAAAUAAUUAAAUUGAGAUAAGUAAUAAAUAGAAAUAAUUUAGUCAAAUUAUCCUUUAAUUAAUAUUCUUCUUAAGAGGGUGCAAAAUAAAAAAAUGUUACAAAUAUUAAAAAACAGAGGGAUUACUUGCCUUUUUAAAUCAUCAUGAUAUAAUUAAUUGUUUGUUUCCAUCUUUACAAUAAUAAUAAAUAUAGAGAGAUAAUUAAUAGUGCAAGAAAAGUAUUAAAUAGAAAUAAGUAAUUAAUAAGAAUAAUUUAAUCAAAUUAUCCUCUAUUUCUUCCGUUCAUCUUUAUUUAUCUAUUUUUUUAUUUUGUGAUGUCCAGUAUUCAAUUUAUUAAAUUAAUAAAUAAUUUAUCCAAUUUUACCCAUUUUAUCUUAAUAUUAAAUAUAAUACAUCAUUAAAAAAUCUAAAGAGUGAUAUAAUAAAAUUAUUUAUUUUUUAUUAUUUUUAAAGAUAUAUGACAAGUCAAGGACAAGUAUUUAUAAAUGAAAGGUACAGUUAAUAUUUUUUUUAAAAGGCAUGCAAAUUAAAACUGUGAUAAAUAUUUAAAAACUGAGACAAUUGAAUGUACGUAAACCAAUUGUGUACUUCUGAACAUUUAAAUUCUCAACAACUUCUUGUACGAUCUCUACUAUCAUAUGUAGGUACCACGUUUUAAAUAUUUAUAUAGUCGUUCAUUUUAUAUCACUUGACAUAAUUCUUUAGAAAUUUUUGAUUUAAGGGAUAUUUUAAUAAUUAAUAUUAUUAAUAAUAUUUAAAAUUUUAAAUAUAUUUUAUUUUUAUAUAGUUAUUUGAUAAUAAGAAUAGUUGAAAAAAAUAUAGUAAAAUUAUCUCAAUUUUAAAAUUGAACGAGUAAAAUGAAAUAUCUAUUCCUCAUAUAGUGGCAAGUAGUAUGAAAGGAAUCGAAAGAAAUAACUUUCACACGUUGAAAUAUUUGUCUAUAUAAUACGAUGAUAGAGACAUCAAAACAAUAUAAUUAACUCUAACCUUUACACAAAUUUUUUUUUCAAAACAGUUUGACACUCAUCUACCAUCUAUAAAUUAUAACACAAUAAUACGAUAAUAAAGAUAUCAAAAUAAUACAACUAAACUUAACCUUUACACAAAAAGUUUCUCAAAAUAGAGAUAUAAAAACAAUACAAUUAGACCUAACAUUUACCUAAAAAAAAUUCUCAAAGCCGAGUAAAUUAAUUGAAUGAAAAUAAAGAAGAAAUAUAUGUACACACGUUGAAUUCUAUUAUUAAGCAUCUACCAAUCUAGAGCAUCAAUCAUAUUUUUUUAAUAAUUAACUCGAUUUCUUCUUUAGUUUAACGUGUAUCUCAAUAUAUUUAUAGAAGUAUUUUUUUAAUAUAGUCUUAUUUUAGUAGCAUUUUUCUAUCCUAUUUUAGGCGUGUUAAUCUAAUUGAUCACUACAAAGAAAAAUAUUAAUUGAUUCUCUUUUUAUAUAUUUUAGGAGUCUCAUAUAUUUUAUGAGUCAAGUUAAUAUAAUAUAAAAAAGAAAGUCAAACUAUUACCCAUUAAAAAUAUAGAUAUGUUCUUUAGACGAAAGUCCAACUUUCGUACUUCUUUUUAUUUUUAUAAUGGAAUACUUUUAAAUUAAAUUGCUUAAAAUCAAUAUUCAAUCAAACUAUAUUGUUUUAAAAUUUUAUUUUUAGAUUGAAAAUAAAGGUGCAUUUGUAUACGUAUAGAAAGUUUUCAAAAGUUACCUUCAAUAAAUAAAGAUGCAAAAGAACCUUUUCCCAUAUAUUUUAGAAGUCCUUAAUCAGUUAAUAUAUUUCUUUCUAUAUAUUUUAAGAGUUCAGUUAAUAUUAUAAAUAUAAUUAAAUAACAAUUGAAAGAAAAAUAGUGAAAAGAAGAUUUUGUCAAAAACAAAGACUAUAAUGAAGGGUAAAAAGUUCAAAUCAUUUUUCUAAGUAUCUUCACGCUUUUAAUAUAUUAUAGAUAUAGAUUAUACAUAUAGAUAUAGAUAUAGAUAUAGAUUAUAGAUAAAUCAACUAUUAAGUAAAGGAACUCAUGUUGCUGCUGAUUAAGUUCUUGAUUGCGGGUUCAAUCCUGAGCAGCAGCUCAAUCCGACAUUGUUUUUAAUUUCAAAUAAAAAAAUCCUUUUAUUUUAACUAGUAUACAUAUCCCACGAUGCGCAAAUAGUAUUAAAAUAUUUUUUCUAAUCAUUUCAUUAUGGAAUGUCUUGUUUGAAUAUGUUAAAUCAUACUAUUGCAGAUUUCCUUUAAAAAAAAAGUGCAACUUUCAUUUAUUUUUCAAUAAAAUGUGGAAAAAAAAAUCUACAUCCUCACCCACUUCCUACCCCUACCGCCACCUCUGCAUCCAUAUCCAUCCCCCACCCUAUCCUCAAUUUAAAAAAUAAAAAUAAAAAUAAAAUUCUACCUCCCCUCCCUAGAUGCUCCCCAACCCCACCCAAUCCCCCUAACUGUAACUAAAUCUAUAAAAAAGUUAUUACUUGUUAAAAAAAAAUUACGUUUUCAAUUUUGUAAUUAUAGUAGUCAUAGUAUUUAAAUCUACACCCCUUCCCGCCCAUUAUUGGUGCACAUUUUUUCUACUGUAUUUUAGUUACUUUAUUUUUCACUAAUGUGAAUUUGCAAUUAUUUUUUUGUGUUACACACAUAUGCAGUUGAGUUUUUUUAUAUCUUAUCUCAAAGUAUAGAAAUUAAAAUUGAUAAAUUUUAUUAUGCACAACAAAAAAAUGAAAUAAAAAUUAGAAGAAAGCUCCAAAAUAAUCUAAUUUGUUAGAAUUAAUCUCCACAUUUAAAAUUAGAUAGACACUUUCAUAUCUACCAAAAUAUAAUUUUAUCUCAUAUUUAAUUUUUAACUUUUUUUUACUCAAAUUCAAAGAAAAAAAUUAUUAACUUUUUUUAAGAAUUAAAAUGAAUUCUUGUCUAUAGGAAAUAACCUAUCUACUUCUUUAGAGGUAGUGGUGUGAUCUGUAUAUACUUUACCCUCUCCAGACCCCACUAUGUGGGAAUACACUGAGUAUGUUGUUGUUGUUUCUAAGAAUUAAAAUGAAUUUCAUAAUGUAUGUAAUAUUUCUUGAAUAUUAAUUUUAAAUAAGAAAGUAAAAUCAUAAAUUUAUUAAAAUAUAAGACUUUACUCUUUAUAAUUAAAAAAAUAAUUUCAAAAAUUUAAUUUAUUUCUCAACCUCUACUUCAUCGCCCAUGAUUUUUUCAUUGUUUAGAUUUAUCUAUAUUUUAAAUUAUAAUUUCAUAUUAAUAUAAAAUAUAAAUAGAUAUACUAGCUAUUUAUUUAAAUUUAUUGACUUUGUCCCAAUAGUUAUUAGAAAUCCAAUAAGGAAAGAAAAUUUCUUGAAUAUGAAUUUAAAGGACAAAAUUAAAAUAAAAAAUUCAUUCAAUAUUUUUUUUUCUAAAAAAGAUAACUAUGUAAUCUGCGUAUAACAUAUUUAAGAUAUUAUAUUAAAAUUUAUCCUUUUAGGCUAUGAUUUAGUUCUAUAUUUUUUUAAUUUUUUUUCUCUAUAUUAUGAAACUAAAUGACGCCCAAAACCACUAAAAUAGUUUAUAAAUAAAUGUAAAAUUACAAGUAAAAUUAAAAGGGAAUAAAUAAAUUAAAAUAUCUAAAUAUCUAUAAAUUUGUAAUCCUCCUAAUAAAGUAUAUAUGUGAAUGAGGUACUUAUUAAAUAUAAAAAUCAGACAAUCAUAAAUUGCAUACAAUUGAAUUAAAUAAAAAACAAAUAUGAAAUAAAAAACAUUAAAAAGAAAGAAGAAGAAUAAUAUGAAAUACAAAUUUUGAAAACUUAAGUUUGCUAACUAUACCAACAAAACUCUAUUUCUGUAGUUAUCUUUUAUUUUCUUCUUUUUAUUCUUCUUUGUCUCUUCUGCAAGUCAACAAUAGCAACAAAAUUCUCACAAAAAAUUAGAAUAAAAAUCAUCACUAAAAAUUAGAAUAAACUCACAAGAACAAUUCUUCAUAAUUAAACAAUAGAAAUGGUAUUAAUUUAAAAUUGAUUUACAUAUAAAUAUUUUACUUAUUAAAGUCUUUAUUUCAAUUGUUAUCGAUUUCUUUUUCUUCUUAUCUUCUUGGAAGAUGUUACAAAUUACAGUGAGAGGCGAAUUAUUGCGAGAAGUAGAUAGAUAUAACAUCAAUAGAUGUGAUCUUGUUCCUUUUCAUUUACAGUAAAAAGUUGAAGAUGAAAAGGUCAUAUCUUUUCUGCAUAUAAAAAAGAAAAAUGUUAAAUCAAAAAUAUUUUUUAAAAUAAAAAUGUAAAGAAUGCUGUAAAUAAAUUCAUCAAUAAAACUUAUGAUAUAGGGAUAUAUAUAAGAGAGACUAAGAAUUACCUAGAACCAUAUUUCAAUUCAAAUUUCAAAUACCAUAUUAAUUUGUUAAAAAAAAAUUAGUUUGUUAUUAUUCUUUCUUAUCCUUACUUUUUUUUUAAAAUGUGAUUUGUAUUUACAUAAUAAUUUAUAUAUUUUGAUUCAAAUAAUAAUUUGAAACCAAUGAGAUUAUUAUUAUUAUUAUUAUUAUUAUUAUUAUUAUUAUUAUUAUUAUUAUUAUUAUUAUUAUUAUUAUUAUUAUUAUUAUUAUUAUUAUUAUUAUUAUUAUUAUUAUUAUUAUUAUUAUUAUUAUUAUUAUUAUUAUUAUUAUUAUUAUUAUUAUUAUUAUUAUUAUUAUACUAUUGUUAUUAUUAUAAUAUGAAUUCAAACAUAAUCAACUAGUACUACAACGACUGCUACUAUACAUAUGUAUUACUACAACUACUAUAUUAUUAUUAUUAUUAUUGUUGUUGUUGUUGUUGUUAUUCUUAUGAUGAUGAUGAUGAAAUAGUUAGAGCUUAUUUUGGACUCUUUAUCCGUAGAUUCCUAGUUUAAAGUUAAUGAAAAUGUUUUUUUCUUCAAAAUCUCUAAUUUCUCUAAUUCAAAUAUUUAUUAUCUUUUAAAUUAAAUUCAAAUUCAAAUUUAUCUUUUAGUUAGUUCAAAUUCAAUUUUAUCUGGUAUAGAGUUUGUUUUCAAUAUUUAAAGAAUCUGUAACUUUCAUUUGAAAUUCAAAAUUAAAAAUUUAACACCAAUUCAACAAAUUUUAUCUUUAUCUGAAAACUAAUUUAAAUAAUAUAUGUCUUUAAAAAUAUCAUAUAUCCUUUUAUAGUUUCAAUUUAAAAUUAUAAAAAAUGUCAUAAAUUUUUUUUUUUUUGCUUUUUGAAUUAUCUAAAUACCACUAAAUUGUGUUGCUGCGAUCUCCUUAGAUGGAUUUUUACUUGAUAUUGACUACACUAAGAAGACUUACCAUAAAGGAAUAAACUGCUAAAUAAUACAAAUAGCUAGUUUGAUUUUUCUUCUUGGUUUUUGAAAUGAAGGCAGAGUAUUUCUCUAUAAAAGAUGAUGUCAUUUCAUGAAACACCUACGGAUCUGUGUAACUAGAGGAGUGAUAAGAAGCUCUUUAAUUUCUCGCUCUCCCACUCUCUUGUGUCUGAGAAAGGAAUGGAAAGCAAAAGAAAACUGAUCAAAGACCUAUACUUGAAGGAUACUAGCUUUCACUAACACUCGAAAACUGGUUGAAAACUUUUACAGUUUUUUUUAAAUAGCUAAAUGCUUGAGAUGAUGAGCAUAAAAUAAAAUAUUGAGCCCGUUCUGAGCAUGAGCUUUGUCCAUCUAGUAUAAAAAAAUAGGAGUAAUAUGGUAAAGUUAUUAUGUCAAUUAUUUUUUUUUAAUGGGCAUAUAGAUUUUCCAACCACAACAAAAACGUGUCAUAUAGAUUUUAUCUUUCUUGUGUGUGUGUACUUUUGACAUUGAUAUGUGGUGGAUAAUGUUUUGUACAAGCCUUUCACAGCUAAUUACUUUAUCCAUUUGUAAAUACUUGUGUGAUUAUUAAAAAUAAAUAUUUUAUACUAUAUUAUUUGCUUAAAAUUACUUAUAACUUAUGUCUAUUUUUUAUUUUACGUAUUAUUGUUGAUAUAUAAAAUAAAAAGACAAUAAAUUUUUUAUUUUACCCUUAAAUUAGGAAGAAGGUUGUUGGACGUGUAAAAAGAAGAGGUGUGUAAAAAUAUUGCCCUAGUUUUCGAGUGUACUUUAUUUGGCUUUAACUUUUUGGUUCAUCCUUAAUUGCAUCUCGGUCAUUAUGAGUUAUGGCAAUUGUUUGAAAAAAAGCGUGAUUAUUUAAUACUUUCUUUGUUUCUAAAUAUCUGCAUCUCAACUAAAAUAGAAAUUUUAUAGUAAUAUUUAUCAUUAUAGAAAAUCAAGGCAUCAGUUGUUUGUUUCUAUUUUUUUCUGAAUCAUAAAUAUGAAAAAGUAUUAAUAUGGAG